rnacentral:ribozyme from 14 species
AGCCUGCAAGUAUACAUGCCGGCGUAGGUGAAAAACAGAAGAACAAGAAGAAAGAAUAAUAAAUAAUGAGAAGUUAAUAAAUUUAAGGUAGUUUAAGUGGUUAUUUUACUUU